GAGGCAGAGAGGGGGAAUUGGAGGAAAUGCACAUGGGGAGGGAUAGCUCAGUGGUUUGAGCAUUGGCCUGCUAAACCCAGGGUUGUGAGCUCAGGCCUUGAGGGGGCCACUUAGGAUUCUGGGGCAAAAAUCAGUACUUGGUCCUGCUAGUGAAGGCAGCGGGCUGGGCUUGAUGACCUUCUGGGGUUCCUUCCAGUUCUAUGAGAUAGGUAUAUCUCCAUAUAUUUAUGUGAUAUGAGGAUCACCAAGAGGAAUGGGAGUAGGAAGGAGGGAUACUUUAUUCUAAGUCUAGGCUCCGGAUCUCACUGAGCCACCGGCCCGCUGUAUAACACAGUUCCUGUUGAUAGUGUAUGUUGGCCCUUAGCUCUCUUUCAGGGGUUUAGGUGGUUUAUAGAAUCAGUAGAUGCCCUAGUGCCCGCAGCAUGGUGGAUUUUGCAUCAUAGAUAGAAUGAGGCAUUUUGGUAAGUGGAGUGGAGACAAAGGCUGACUUGCUCUCACAGGCAAUGAGAGAGGUUUAUUGUCUACCUACUGUGACUUACUGUUUCUCUACUAUUCUGGUUUUGCUCUGUGAUCAUGUGUCUACAAAUUUCUUGCCAGGGUUUACCUCUCCAUUGCCUAAAUGAAGGAACAAUUUCCACCUCCAUCUUGAAUUGUACUGGGGCUAAGGUGCAUCAAAUCCAUUUCUAGCAGCACAACUUAUAUGAGGUGCUCCAUGGUAUAAAGAUAAAACUCUGCUGAUUAGAAACUGGAUGAUCAUUCUGCACUGCCUCCUAGAGGAUUUGACUGGAAGAUUUCACCAUAAUAAAGGAGCAGGAUGCCAUCACUUCAGCAUGACUAUUCCUGUAUGUAGUCUUCUAACUUGUAGAAUGUGGCUUUGCAUAAACACAUGAAUAAAAUCU
rnacentral:lncRNA from 1 species